rnacentral:rRNA from 1 species
UGCAGUCGAACGAAGUAGCAAUACUUAGUGGCAGACGGGUGAGUAACAUGUGGGUAUCUUCCCUUUGGCCUGGAAUAACACGAGGAAACUUGUGCUAAUACCGGAUAAGUCUUUACGGAGAAAGCUUUAUGCACCAUUGGAUGAGCCUGCACUUGAUUAGUUUGUUGGUGGGGUAAUGGCCUACCAAGACAAUGAUCAAUAGCUGAUUUGAGAGGAUGAUCAGCCACAUUGGGACUGAGACACGGCCCAAACUCCUACGGGAGGCAGCAGUAGGGAAUCUUGCACAAUGGGGGAAACCCUGAUGCAGCGAUGCCGCGUGAGUGAAGAAGGCCUUUGGGUUGUAAAGCUCUUUCGUCGGGGAAGAAAAUGACUGUACCCGAAUAAGAAGGUCCGGCUAACUUCGUGCCAGCAGCCGCGGUAAUACGAAGGGACCUAGCGUAGUUCGGAAUUACUGGGCUUAAAGAGUUCGUAGGUGGUUAAAAAAGUUGGUGGUGAAAUCCCAGAGCUUAACUCUGGAACUGCCAUCAAAACUUUUUAGCUAGAGUUUGAUAGAGGAAAGCAGAAUUUCUAGUGUAGAGGUGAAAUUCGUAGAUAUUAGAAAGAAUACCGAUUGCGAAGGCAGCUUUCUGGAUCAUUACUGACACUGAGGAACGAAAGCAUGGGUAGCGAAGAGGAUUAGAUACCCUCGUAGUCCAUGCCGUAAACGAUGUGUGUUAGACGUUGGAAAUUUAUUUUCAGUGUCACAGCGAAAGCAAUAAACACACCGCC